GCCUAGGUAGCUCAAUGGUUGAGCGUCUGCCUUUGGAUCAGGGUGUUAUUCUGGGGUCCUGGGAUCGAAUCCCACAUCAGGCU
rnacentral:tRNA from 1 species